GACCAAACACAUCAGCUUUAUUGCUUUUUUCUAUUUAAUAUUUCUAUUUUAUUUUAUUUAAAUUUUAUUUAAAGGCGUCAUGAGAAACCAAAUUUCCCUUGAUCUUUUGAUACAGAAGAGGUCUUUGUAUGCCUAAUGUAUCCGGCAAGUUUCAUAACUUAAAAUGUCCUCAUCAUCAAUAAAAAAACAUUUAUGUAAUAACCCUCAGAAAACGGCUCAUUUUAGAUCCUAUGGAACAAGCUGAUGUCAGCUGGGCACAGUCAUUUGAAUAAAUACUGCCCCAGAGCAACAAGUCAACAUAGGCCCGCCCACUGGCGUUUAGCCGCUAACGGCUUGGCACUUGAUUACGCUGAAUGCGAGUGUUGCGUCACCUCACAAGCAAAUCACUGGAUACGGACAAAUGGAGUGAAAGAACGUUUGCUUUGACGGGUUUGGAUUAAACAGCUCGUUCACAUCUUUGAACGGAUAUCAGAAGGAUCCCAGCGUAAGGAACAAGUGGAUAGUUUAUUUUUAAUGGCAUCCUGGAUCGUGUCUGAAGAUUGUUGUUCAGAGCAUGUUGUUUUGUAAACGAAGCACAGUUUCAUGGAGCGUUCACAAAGAAACAUUUGCUGAAAGAUGAAACGGUACUAGUUUUGACAGCAGCUACAUCAACCGACUCUCACCAUGGCCACAUGUCCGUGUGCAGCGGCCAGAUGCAGGCAGGUACAUCCGUGUUUGUCGGUCAGGUGCAGCAGAGAUCCAGAGCGGCUGAGCAGCAGCCCAACCACAGCUGUUUGUCCGCUCUGAGCUGCCAGGUGCAGAGGACUGGAGCCCUGAAACACAUGACGGACGCAUCGGCUUGAACACCAGGAGAAUUCAGCAACAGGCGAACCACGUUCUCAUGACCGGACUGAGCCGCCAGGUGCAGAGGAGUGUAACCUGACUGAACACACACACA